GACGAACGCUGGCGGCGUGCUUAACACAUGCAAGUCGAACGGAAAGGCCCUGCUUUUGUGGGGUGCUCGAGUGGCGAACGGGUGAGUAACACGUGAGUAACCUGCCCUUGACUUUGGGAUAACUUCAGGAAACUGGGGCUAAUACCGGAUAGGAGCUCCUGCUGCAUGGUGGAGGUUGGAAAGUUUCGGCGGUUGGGGAUGGACUCGCGGCUUAUCAGCUUGUUGGUGGGGUAGUGGCUUACCAAGGCUUUGACGGGUAGCCGGCCUGAGAGGGUGACCGGCCACAUUGGGACUGAGAGACGGCCCAGACUCCUACGGGAGGCAGCAGUGGGGAAUAUUGCACAAUGGGCGGAAGCCUGAUGCAGCAACGCCGCGUGCGGGAUGACGGCCUUCGGGUUGUAAACCGCUUUCGCCUGUGACGAAGCGUGAGUGACGGUAAUGGGUAAAGAAGCACCGGCUAACUACGUG
rnacentral:rRNA from 1 species